rnacentral:rRNA from 1 species
GCCCAGACUCCUACGGGAGGCAGCAGUGGGGAAUAUUGCACAAUGGGGGAAACCCUGAUGCAGCGACGCCGCGUGAGCGAUGAAGUAUUUCGGUAUGUAAAGCUCUAUCAGCAGGGAAGAAGAUGACGGUACCUGACUAAGAAGCCCCGGCUAACUACGUGCCAGCAGCCGCGGUAAUACGUAGGGGGCAAGCGUUAUCCGGAUUUACUGGGUGUAAAGGGAGCGUAGACGGCGAUGCAAGCCAGAUGUGAAAGCCCGGGGCUCAACCCCGGGACUGCAUUUGGAACUGUGUGGCUGGAGUGUCGGAGAGGCAGGCGGAAUUCCUAGUGUAGCGGUGAAAUGCGUAGAUAUUAGGAGGAACACCAGUGGCGAAGGCGGCCUGCUGGACUGCAACUGACGUUGAGGCUCGAAGGCGUGGGGAGCAAACAGGAUUAGAUACCCCUGUAAG